CAAUUCCGCUCUUCCGGCCGUUCCCAAUGACUCCCGCUCCCGGCGUCUAUACGCCGGGAGUUUUUUUUUGCUAUU
rnacentral:sRNA from 1 species